rnacentral:rRNA from 1 species
GACGAACGCUGGCGGCGUGCUUAACACAUGCAAGUCGUACGGGAAGGCCCUUUCGGGGGUACACGAGUGGCGCACGGGUGAGUAACACGUGAGUAACCUGCCCACAACUUUGGGAUAACGCUAGGAAACUGGUGCUAAUACUGGAUAUGUGCUCCUGCUGCAUGGUGGGGGUUGGAAAGCUCCGGCGGUUGUGGAUGGACUCGCGGCCUAUCAGCUUGUUGGUGGGGUAGUGGCCUACCAAGGCGGCGACGGGUAGCCGGCCUGAGAGGGUGACCGGCCACAUUGGGGCUGAGAUACGGACCAGACUCCUACGGGAGGCAGCAGUGGGGAAUAUUGCAAAAUGGGCGCAAGCCUGAUGCAGCAACGACGCGGGCGGGAUGACGGCAUUCGGGUUGUAACCCGCUUUCAGCAGGGACGAAGCUUUUUGUGACGGUACCUGGAGAAGAAGCACCGGCUAACUACGUG